GUUGCAAAGCACUGCAAUAGUGAGAUGGACUGGUUUCUGAGGAAAGGUGAGAAAAGAAAACCAUUAACGCCAACUGUCACUCUUCCAACUGAAUAUUGAAACCACUAGGGAAAAAAUUUUGAGUGAGGUUAACAGUCAUAAGCAAUGUUGGUGUUUUUGAGGUUUGCCUGUGAAUCGCCAUUUAGCUGUACCACAUGCUUCCUAGAGAUGUAAUUAAUUGUCGUAUUGUAAAGCUUUCAAACGUGUUAAGUUGUGUGUUACACGGGGCUAACUUAUGGCAAGUUUUCCGUUUGUUUAGAUUAGUGGAUUUAUUUGGUGCAUUUUGGGUUAGUGGACAGAAGAUUCAGGAGACUGGAAUUUUUAUUCUACUUUCACAGUGAUGGUUUAUAAACUAAGUAUUUUAUCGUUAAGUCUUUGUAUAAAAUACACUGCAUGCAAGGGUGAUUUGGCUCGAAAUUUGUUACCCAUGGACUGCCAAGGUUCGUUUGGCUGAUUGACCGACUUGACCAACUAGAAAAGUAAUGCCUGCUUGCUUAGUACUUACGCUAUGCUGAUGAAAUGGUCUCCAGACCCUACGAACGUGUCUCCAACAGGAGCACAUCUGCUGCCUACAGAUGUCCAGGUUGUGUCCCAUACAAGGAAAUGGCAACUAAGACAGUGACAUUCACAUUGGAGACAUAUUUAGUAUGUUUCUGUAUUUUUAUUAUAACUUCCUUAGGUUUCAAAGAGAGGCUAUUUGUGUAUUUGUUAUAACAGUUCCCUAACUAAUCAAGUAAAAUAUCUUUUCAUAAUAGAGUACAUACAUACCGUUUUGCUUUGACUCACAAAGAAAGAACAAGUUUAACAAACAAAAGACUCUCUUGAUGUAACAAUUAACAAGGCUUCUACUACUGGAAGCUGCUUUUCACAAAUUUCACGAGCUCAUCAGAAAAUAUCUUAAAAUGAAAAAAGGAAAAUUUCCAAUUGGUAAAAUGUAGCUAAAUUUCAUGUUUCAUUUUGUAGUUAACAGUAUUGUCAUUUGUUUAUUUUACUAAAAUGACAUUGCAGAGUUUCCAAUUUAAGCCUAUACUUUCAGUGACUCACUAUAGAAUAAGUAAUAUUUAUUUACCAUUAGCACAUAAUGAUCUAACUGUAUCACAGUCAUUAUGCUGUGAAAAUUUUAUCAUACAAUUUUAAUUGCUGUUAAAUCUUAAGGGCUCACUACAUAAAUAUAAUUUUAAAAUAUUACACAUUCUAAAUGAAAUGUAUUAAAUGAUCACAUUAUCUCUGCCCAGAUGCUCAAAACAUAAGAAAAUAGUUUAUCAUAUCAGAAAAACAGAAAGUGAGAAUCCACUCUACAAUAAAAUGAAAAAAAAAAAAAGUUUGGAUCAUUGAAUGCCAGGGGGAAGAAAGAAAAGGAAAUGAUUAGCCUCAGAAGAUUCUAGCACAGACUUCACAGGGAGGGCAAGAGGUGAAUUUACCCUCUAUUUCCAUGUCAAAAGAAUGGAUGAAUUCUUCUUAAAAAAGUGAGAGAAGAAAAAAAAACAUGUAGAAUCCAUUAAAUGAAAUACACUCACAGUUAAUCUAGUUAAAGUCCAUGUAUUUGAAUAUCGAAAGCAAAAUCCUCCUGUUGAGCAUCAAAUAGGACGAAUUUAUCUCCCAGAAGAAAGCACAUGUAGGAAGUCUUUGGAAACUUCGUACAUAAGAAUUCUGACAAAUGUUGAAAAUAAAAAUCCUAACUCUUGUUACUUUUAUUUUAAGCUGAAAGAAUUCUUAAAAAAAAAAAAAAGUUAUGUAAAUCCCUUAAAGAAAAAAAAAAACAGCUGAAUAAAGAGAAUGGGGAUAUAGAUUGACAUUUUUGUCACUUAAUUGUUGUAAAACAGGAAUACAGUGAAAUGCACCACAAACAUUUUAUUAAGCGUUCAAAAUUAAAAACUGUUUUGAAAAAAGUAGAUAAUUAUUGAUGCUACAGGAAAUAAACUAUUUGAGGAUGAAAAAAAUAUUAACAGGCUAUUAGAAGAGGUAUAUUAUAAAUACUUAUGUGUUUAGCAAAACAAUUUGGCACUCAGAGAAUAAUCUAUACAACUGAAUGACAAUAGGAAUUUCCCCAUUUGCUAGAAACGAUAGUAAAAGUCAAUAACGUUAUGACUGACAUGCAUAAUACGAAUAUCAACAACAAAUAAUAAUAUUGUACGCUAUUUAGGGGCUGAAAUACAAAACCAAAAAUUAAGAUUAUAGCAGAUGGAAUGAAUAAGAUUAUUUAAUAAGGCGAGUAAUGCUAAUUAUCAUUCAUUUUAGAUACAAGUGGUGUGCUGAUAAACUGACCCUUUUAAAAAAGAAAAAAGAAAAAAAAAAGCCCUGAUCUGUGGCAUUUGCCAAUCACAAUGGUGUAAACACUCCUAAUAAGACUGAUUUCAAAUGUCCAAUAUUUUAACAAUUGGCUUAUAAAAUUCCUGAAUAUUUAACGGUAGGCUUUCACCAGCCCGUGCAAGCCGGCUCCUACAUUGCACAUACACAUGCAGUCAAAGCCACGCAGAACAGAUGAUAAUUGUUAGAUCUGAGAAUUUAAAAAUGCAAGUCUUGUUAUUUCUACAUGCAACUCUUUUGGGCAACUCUGCCCAGAAGGUGACAUAAGUAAAGAAGGAUUAUACAUGUAUUUUUAGUAGACCACUUACAAGAGAAAAUCUGGAAAUCUAAGAUUCAAUAAUAGAAUAAAUGGGCAUGGAAAACAUAACAAAUUGCAACAGAUGAUAUUCAAAAAUGAUAGACUAUCCCAUAUUCUGCUUUCUGUGCAUUUUUUAAACUGAGAGGAAAUGAGACAGCAAAACUCUCUCUGACAACACUCUGAAUAGCUUUUUAUAUUGCACAGACUAUACAAGUACUUUUUAGCCUCAAUGAAAAUUAAGAGUAUUGGAUACAUACUUACCAAGUAUGAGUAUUUAGCCAUUGUUGAAUUUGUGAUAGGAAAUGCAGUUGGUAACAUUAUGUUACUAGAAACACAAGUAGAAGGGAGAUAGUGGGAGGGGGGUGACUGAAAUAGGUGAUGGGGAUUUAGGGUGCACUUGUGAUGAACACCAGGUAAUGUAUGGAAGUGUGCAAUCACCAUAUUGUAUACCUGAAACUUAUACAACACUGUAUGCUAACAGUACUGAAAUUAAAAUGAAAAUUUAAAAAUUUUCAAAAUAAAAAUAAAUAAAAUGAAAUGAAAUAAAAUAAAAUAAAUAAAACUAAAAA